GUUUUGUUCUCCGUGUGGCAGAAAACAUUGUGGAGCCUGUGUUGCUGUAAGCUAGCAGACACGCCAUGUCUGAUCUGUUUGACACAGCCUGCAGUGCUCACUUCCGCUCUGCGCCUUCACGUCCGAGUCAGGGCACUGGUGGACUAGAGGGGGAUGUGUGAAAAGAAACGCUGCAAAAGAGCCCUCUUGGAUGAUCCUAUGGGAUACAGCAGCUGGACAUCACACAACUAAAUCAGGGAUCCAACCAAGACUGAACUGAAAACCAGGACUCAAAUACAAACUAGUGGAG